AAUGCAGUGAUGGAAGGCUAUUAGGUACAGUCAAGUAUUUGCGAAGUUUGUGUGUGGAUCAAGAUAGGAUUGACUCCUUCGGAUUAUAAGAGCUGAUGUAUUGCUAUAUUUUAAUUUAGUAAAAUUUUGAUCAAGAUAAUCCAUGAAAUGGAUUUGAAAAAUUAAAAUAUAAUGUGAAUGAAAUACUUUAAGUUCACAGUUAAUCUGAGAUCAUCCUAAAGCAUUCAGGAACAAAAGGAUAAAUUAUGCGG
rnacentral:lncRNA from 1 species